AGAGUUUGAUCAUGGCUCAGAUUGAACGCUGGCGGCAUGCUUUACACAUGCAAGUCGAACGGUAACAGGCCGCAAGGUGCUGACGAGUGGCGAACGGGUGAGUAAUGCAUCGGAACGUGCCCAGUCGUGGGGGAUAACGCAGCGAAAGCUGUGCUAAUACCGCAUACGAUCUAUGGAUGAAAGCGGGGGACCGUAAGGCCUCGCGCGAUUGGAGCGGCCGAUGUCAGAUUAGGUAGUUGGUGGGGUAAAGGCCCACCAAGCCAACGAUCUGUAGCUGGUCUGAGAGGACGACCAGCCACACUGGAACUGAGACACGGUCCAGACUCCUACGGGAGGCAGCAGUGGGGAAUUUUGGACAAUGGGCGCAAGCCUGAUCCAGCAAUGCCGCGUGCAGGAAGAAGGCCUUCGGGUUGUAAACUGCUUUUGUACGGAACGAAACGGUCUGGGCUAAUACCCUGGGCUAAUGACGGUACCGUAAGAAUAAGCACCGGCUAACUACGUGCCAGCAGCCGCGGUAAUACGUAGGGUGCAAGCGUUAAUCGGAAUUACUGGGCGUAAAGCGUGCGCAGGCGGUUUUGUAAGACAGUCGUGAAAUCCCCGGGCUCAACCUGGGAAUUGCGAUUGUGACUGCAAAGCUGGAGUGCGGCAGAGGGGGAUGGAAUUCCGCGUGUAGCAGUGAAAUGCGUAGAUAUGCGGAGGAACACCGAUGGCGAAGGCAAUCCCCUGGGCCUGCACUGACGCUCAUGCACGAAAGCGUGGGGAGCAAACAGGAUUAGAUACCCUGGUAGUCCACGCCCUAAACGAUGUCAACUGGUUGUUGGGUCUCUUCUGACUCAGUAACGAAGCUAACGCGUGAAGUUGACCGCCUGGGGAGUACGGCCGCAAGGUUGAAACUCAAAUGAAUUGACGG
rnacentral:rRNA from 1 species